rnacentral:rRNA from 1 species
GGGACACGUGGUAUCCUGUCUGAAUAUGGGGGGACCAUCCUCCAAGGCUAAAUACUCCUGACUGACCGAUAGUGAACCAGUACCGUGAGGGAAAGGCGAAAAGAACCCCGGCGAGGGGAGUGAAAAAGAACCUGAAACCGUGUACGUACAAGCAGUGGGAGCACGCUUAGGCGUGUGACUGCGUACCUUUUGUAUAAUGGGUCAGCGACUUAUAUUCUGUAGCAAGGUUAACCGAAUAGGGGAGCCGAAGGGAAACCGAGUCUUAACUGGGCGUUAAGUUGCAGGGUAUAGACCCGAAACCCGGUGAUCUAGCCAUGGGCAGGUUGAAGGUUGGGUAACACUAACUGGAGGACCGAACCGACUAAUGUUGAAAAAUUAGCGGAUGACUUGUGGCUGGGGGUGAAAGGCCAAUCAAACCGGGAGAUAGCUGGUUCUCCCCGAAAGCUAUUUAGG